AUAUCAUAUGUUUCUUUUUUAUUAAUUUCUGUCACCAAAAUUAGACCUCUUUUUUCUGUUCCAUUUACACCAAACUUCUACAUUUCAUUUCUUUUUUCUUUCCAAUAAAAUGUAUCUAAAGUUAUAUAUCAUGUUAAACUAUUUUCAAAUCCGUUGGAAUCCAUCAAAAAAUAUGUAAGAAAUGCUCAAGCCAUCGCUGGUCGCCCCUUAAUUGAUGUGUAUGCGUCAUCGUCUUAUAUAUAGUGGUCAUUUCUUUUGUUUACGUCUCAUUGUUGUCAUCUUCUAGACAAGAAAUGACAUCUAUAUUGUCAUUUCAUUGAUGCAUCAUCGAUUCAUCGUC